rnacentral:rRNA from 1 species
GCUCUUUCGGGUGGGACGAUGAUGACGGUACCACCAGAAGAAGCCCCGGCUAACUUCGUGCCAGCAGCCGCGGUAAUACGAAGGGGGCUAGCGUUGUUCGGAAUUACUGGGCGUAAAGCGCACGCAGGCGGCUCGUUAAAUUAGAAGUGAAAGCCUUGGGCUUAACCUGAGAAUUGCUUUUAAGACUGGCGAGCUAGAAUCCAGAAGAGGGUAGUGGAAUUCCGAGUGUAGAGGUGAAAUUCGUAGAUAUUCGGAAGAACACCAGUGGCGAAGGCGACUACCUGGUCUGGCAUUGACGCUCAUGUGCGAAAGCGUGGGGAGCAAACAGGAUUAGAUACCCUGGUAGUCCACGCCGU